CAAUAGCGUAUAUUAAAGUUGUUGCAGUUAAAAAGCUCGUAGUUGGAUUUGUGGCGUACGGUGUGUUCCGGGCACUUGUUGUCUGAGUAACCUGCUGUUGCCAUCCUUGGGUGGAACCUGUGUGGCAUUAGGUUGUCGUGCAGGGGAUGCCCAUCAUUUACUGUGAAAAAAUUAGAGUGUUCAAAGCAGGCUUAUGCCGUUGAAUAUAUUAGCAUGGAAUAAUGAGAUAGGACUUUUUUGCUAUUUUGUUGGUUUGCGCAAAGAGGUAAUGAUUAAUAGGGACAGUUGGGGGUAUUCGUAUUCCAUAGUCAGAGGUGAAAUUCUUGGAUUUUUGGAAGACGAACCACUGCGAAAGCAUUUACCAAGGAUGUUUUCAUUAA
rnacentral:rRNA from 1 species